UCUGUGCCCUAUUGAGUGUUCCACUGGAGAGUCAGCCGAGACCGCGAGCUCUAGACGAGUCUCGAGUGGGAUUUGAAUCCACAACCUUCCGACGCAGAGACGGGAGGGUGAGAGAAUGGACCAGGCGCUGACAGUGAUAAAAUACAGGGAGAUCUCCGGGACGGUGAGUGCAGUGCAGGAGGUGCAGUGGAGCACAUCAUCAACAAACAGAGGAUCUGUCAGGAAGCCUGGAACAGAGUCCUUCCCUCUCCACGCCAUCCAACACCUCGUUGAUCAACACAUCGAACGGAGAGGGUGACAGUGGGCAGCCUUGCCUUACCCUGCGUUCCAGAGGGAUGGGCUCAGCGACUCCACCAUCAACCCUUACUGAGAUACACACUCCUGAUAAAAUCCCAAGAUUUGGCCACGUAUUCCCAUGGCUUCCAGUUUUAACGUGAGGGAUUCAUGAGGCACGAGGUCACAGGUCUUGAGGAGGCAAUGGACGUAUUGUAAGCAGGUUUCCCCUGAGCCUUACUACCUUCCUCAAUCUCGUGCAAACCUAAAACCUGCCCCACACAUUCCUCACGAGAAUGGAAUCCAGCCUGUUCCUUCCUGAUUAAACCACGAUACACGUGCAGUGAAAAUCCAAA